rnacentral:rRNA from 1 species
UACGGGGGGCGCAAGCGUUGUUCGGAAUUACUGGGCGUAAAGGGCUCGUAGGCGGCCAACUAAGUCAGACGUGAAAUCCCUCGGCUUAACCGGGGAACUGCGUCUGAUACUGGAUGGCUUGAGUUUGGGAGAGGGAUGCGGAAUUCCAGGUGUAGCGGUGAAAUGCGUAGAUAUCAGGAAGAACACCCGUGGCGAAGGCGGCUCUCUGGGACGUGACUGACGCUGAGACGCGAAAGCGUGGGGAGCGAACAGG